UGUGGAACUUUGAAGAGGAAUAGUAAUUUGGAUUUCGCCAUCCAGAGAGCCGGCGUUUGGUGCAAGCCGGUUGGGGAAUGCAGAUGAACUCGCCUUGGAGUUAUGAUGCGCAAAUCAUCAUCGUCUUGCCCGCGUUAAGGGUGCAAAGGGAGCUAGGACAAAGCAUGUCCGACGCUAACUAGGGUGGUACCACGGGAAAUCUCCUCUCGUCCCUAGC
rnacentral:ncRNA from 1 species